GCCCCCCCCCCCCCCAGGGGCCUCGAGGACCCAGGCGUCCACUCCGCCCUCGGACUGCGCGCUGCCCUUUGCUGACUUAAAACAUUCAUCUCGCACCAUUAGCCGCGCGGUCCAAGUUGCAGUGUGCCUAGAUUUUCCUCCAAGGACAAAAAUGUGAAUAAAGCAACAUUUUAGUCAAACAUUUCGGUGUUAAUGAAGAAGAUGGCAAUUCGUUCCGGACUAUAAAUUCUCUUUAGCACCUCUCCAAGGCACACUACGUCAACACUCUUGGCCGGGAUCUGGACGCAGAAGACUCCUGUUUCAAGAAAAUACAAUCGUCUCUCAAAGUCUGUAAUUUAUAUGCAUUUUUAACUCACUAGGUAUUGAAAACCACCCAAGUGUCCCACAACAUGGGGUAAAAUAUAAUCACUGAGUGUAAUAUUAUACAUCCCUUAAAAAUGUGAUUGGAAAAUGUUUUAUGAUCUGUAAGACAAAAUACCCUCUCCCACCAUUUCUUUCUCCCUGCUGCUCCCCCAUACCCACGCAUCUUUGUUCCAACUGGCAUGUUCAACUUGGUUUUCCCGCCAAAUGAGUCAGUUAUGAUGGGAACGGCAAUUGAUUUGAACAGAUGUGUGUCAGGGUUACUUGGGAAACCAGAUGCCAAUAACCAGGGCCACACAAAAAGGCAGUGGUUGCAACUCCGUACAAAUUUAUGCGGGCACGCAGACAAGGACUAAAGUGGAACCCCAAACAGGAAAACAGUUGGAUACGCUCCCGUGCUGAGAGAUUGAAUGAUUGUAUGCUGCUUUUGAUUUCCUUUAAUACAGGCAACUGUCCAAUUAAAAAGACCUGAGAAGGA